ACGGAAGGCAGCAGUGGGGAAUAUUGCACAAUGGGGGAAACCCUGAUGCAGCGACGCCGCGUGAGUGAAGAAGUAUUUCGGUAUGUAAAGCUCUAUCAGCAGGAAAGAAAAUGACGGUACCUGACUAAGAAGCCCCGGCUAACUACGUGCCAGCAGCCGCGGUAAUACGUAGGGGGCAAGCGUUAUCCGGAUUUACUGGGUGUAAAGGGAGCGUAGACGGCUUUGCAAGUCUGAAGUGAAAGCCCGGGGCUCAACCCCGGAACUGCUUUGGAAACUGUAGAGCUAGAGUGCAGGAGAGGUAAGUGGAAUUCCUAGUGUAGCGGUGAAGUGCGUAGAUAUUAGGAGGAACACCAGUGGCGAAGGCGGCUUACUGGACUGUAACUGACGUUGAGGCUCGAAGGCGUGGGGAGCAAACAGGAUUAGAUACCCUGGUA
rnacentral:rRNA from 1 species